AAACUUUGUUACAGCUCUUUCUGCCGCUUGAUAAUUUUUUUUAGCUACCUCCUUCCCUUCAAGUUCUGUAACUCUACAGUUGAAUCAGUGAUGUGAGGCUGCCUGUGAGGGCUGGAGAGUCCCAGAUAUUUCUGGAGAGACACAGAGUGUACGGAACAACCAUCUACUGCUGCUCUGCUGUUAGAUCUGAGCACAGUAAGAAGAGCAUGAGGACUGUCAUAAGCCUUGCAGGAGGAGCAUGUGGAGGAAGAAAACUAGGCAUCUUCCAGCAAAAACUUGCAUUAUCCCAGCUUUGCAGCAAUGCAAUGCAAGAACUGGGACUUCUUUUUGUGACCAAGGUAACUUCAGAAUAGUCAUAAGGACACCAGAAGCCUUUGAGUCUCACCUUUUUAGACUUUCAAUGAAAAUCAGGAAUUGAAAGACUUUAGACAUCUGAUCAACUGUUACCUUAUUUAUAACUUCCAUGAAAUGCAACACAUGUGUCUGAUUACAAGUCUCCAUAAUAGGGCUUAAUAAUGCCAGAAGAAAAUGCGACAACUUGCAAACCAAGCUCUUUUUAUUCAUUUUGCUAUGAGUGCCAUUUGUUUUGAUAGUUCUGUACAUAAAUACAGUAUACAGAUGUCAUACUUAUUUAGCUUGUGAUCCCAAACAACCUCCUUGACUGUGCAGUGGACAUGUACUGGUGCAGUUAAUUAUUCCUGCUUAGAGUGAGGAAACUUGCAGCUGUUCUUAUCAGAUCACUUGCUAUUUCAA